rnacentral:rRNA from 1 species
AUGCAAGUCGAGGGACCGGCGCACGGGUGAGUAACGCGUAUCCAACCUGCCCACCACUUGGGGAUAACCUUGCGAAAGUAAGACUAAUACCCAAUGGUGAUGGAUGGGGAUGCGUCUGAUUAGCUUGUUGGCGGGGUAACGGCCCACCAAGGCGACGAUCAGUAGGGGUUCUGAGAGGAAGGUCCCCCACAUUGGAACUGAGACACGGUCCAAACUCCUACGGGAGGCAGCAGUGAGGAAUAUUGGUCAAUGGACGAGAGUCUGAGCCAGCCAAGUAGCGUGCAGGAAGACGGCCUAUGGGUUGUAAACUGCUUUUAUAAGGGAAUAUGUACCUUAUGAAUAAGGACCGGCUAAUUCCGUGCCAGCAGCCGCGGUAAUACGGAAGGUCCGGGCGUUAUCCGGAUUUAUUGGGUUUAAAGGGAGCGUAGGCCGGAGAUUAAGCGUGUUGUGAAAUGUAGACGCUCAACGUCUGCACUGCAGCGCGAACUGGUUUCCUUGAGUACGCACAAAGUGGGCGGAAUUCGUGGUGUAGCGGUGAAAUGCUU